CGCACUCUGAGGAACUUGCGUUAAGUUCUUUACAUCAUUCUCUUCUCCACCAGUUAAGAGGUGUCUGGUUUCAAACAUCUCCUUAAACAAAGUUCACUAUUUAAAGAAGUGACCGAACUAUUGGCGAGUACGACCGUGUAACUUUUUAUCACUACUUGGAAUCUCUUCAUGCAUCCUCUAACGCAGAAAACUUUAUCGACUUUAAAAAGAAUCUGUGGCUCCUGCUCGACCAAUCAGCCCUUCUUACAGCCAGCAAAAUAGGGCGUGUAUACAAAAAUAGAUCAGAACAAACUUCUGGCCUUCGAGCAAUUAAAUUUAUGUAUAUAUAUUUCCAUGUGGAAAAGAAUUCGAAGUGGAAGCUACUAGAAGAAGUACUCUAGGAGAUCAAAAGUGGCUUGACCCCGUCGUUUGUUUCCUUGCUCCUGUAUGGUUACGGUUGCAACAGACAUGAACGCCUACCUAAGUUUUAGAGGAAACGAGGUUUCCUCUCCAUUGUAGCUGCUCUUCAAAACGUUGAUGCCGUUGCACUCAGAGAAGAAGAUGCUGAUGGCUCUCUACAAGCAACUCCGCCGUAUGAGCUGCGCUCUUCUUGCAUUGUUUUUGUUUUUCUUAUUGACUCUGUUUGUGAUUAAGAGGAACCCGCAAAGAAGCAUUCACAGCAUUCAUCUAAAAAAGGGCUGCAGCGUCGCCUAGUCCUGUUGGCUGAGGACUCUGCCCCCGGCGCUUGGAAGGUCCGGCACUAUCGUAGACGGGCCAAUGAUAUGUAGCCACACGAACCAUGCCGAGUGUCGUGAGUGGCCAAAACUGCAACUUAAUAUCAAGGCAGAGAAUCGUGGAGGCACUAAAACGGCUAUAAAUGAAACAGCAGCAGAGAGGAUGACAAUUACCACAAGACAGGUCGUAUUAAACGGGAUUAUGAUAUAAGUGGUCCUAUAACGCUAAUGGCUACCACCGGAUUCUCCGGGCUAAAAUGGUAUAAUGAUUUACUUCAAUAAUUAAGCUAACCUAACUCUAGUAGAAUCGACUUCAUGGUGUGCGGUAGUAAACCCCGUAAGCGAAAGUAACAUGUUUCAGUUGAAGUCGUGGUCCGGAAGGCAGGGCACCAAACGAUUGGAGACCGUUGUAAGCUUGGCCUUUGAGCUGAUAGCGAGUUAUAAUAUAACUGAUCGCUCACUGAACGCUCAAUAUAAAAAAUGAGUACUACGUCCACGUAGAAAAAAAAAAAAACUGUAAAAGGAAGUUUUUUGACUUGAGUCUUAUAAUACGACAACACAUGUGUCGCUUCAGUUAGUUCAAUGAACGUUAU